rnacentral:rRNA from 1 species
UACGGGGGGGGCAAGCGUUGUUCGGAAUUACUGGGCGUAAAGGGUGCGUAGGCGGUUCGUUAAGUUGGAUGUGAAAACUCUGGGCUCAACCCAGAGCCUGCAUCCAAAACUGGCGGGCUAGAGUUCUGGAGGGGGUAGCGGAAUUCCUGGUGUAGCGGUGAAAUGCGUAGAUAUCGAGAGGAACACCAGUGGCGAAGGCGAGUCUCUGGACGACUCCUGACACUGAGGCACGAAAGCCGGGGGAGCAAACAGG